rnacentral:rRNA from 1 species
AGAGUUUGAUUCUGGCUCAGGAUGAACGCUGGCGGCGCGCCUAACACAUGCAAGUCGAACGGUUAAAGCCCCUUCGGGGGUGCAUAAAGUGGCGAACGGCUGAGUAACACGUGGGCAAUCUGCCCCUCGCACCGGGACAGCCUCGGGAAACCGUGGUUAAUACCGGAUACGCCCCCCUGAGGACAUCCUCUCGGGGGGAAAGCCCCGACGGCGAGGGAUGGGCCCGCGGCCUGUUAGCUUGUUGGUGGGGUAACGGCCCACCAAGGCGAUUAUGGGUAGCUGGGUUGAGAGACCGACCAGCCAGAUUGGGACUGAGACACGGCCCAGACUCCUACGGGAGGCAGCAGUGGGGAAUCUUGCACAAUGGGCGAAAGCCUGAUGCAAGCGACGCCGCGUGCGGGACGAAGGCCUUCGGGUUGUAAACCGCUUUCAGCAGGGACGAGGCCGCGAGGUGACGGUACCUGCAGAAGAAGCCCCGGCUAACUACGUGCCAGCCGCUGC